rnacentral:rRNA from 1 species
GACGAACGCUGGCGGCGUGCUUAACACAUGCAAGUCGAACGGAAAGGCCCUGCUUUUGUGGGGUGCUCGAGUGGCGAACGGGGGAGUAACACGUGAGUAACCUGCCCUUGACUUUGGGAUAACUUCAGGAAACUGGGGCUAAUACCGGAUAGGAGCUCCCGCUGCAUGGUGGGGGUUGGAAAGUUUCGGCGGUUGGGGAUGGACUCGCGGCUUAUGAGCUUGUUGGUUGGGUAGUGGCUGACCAAGGCAUUGACGGGUAGCCGGCCUGGGAGGGUGACCGGCCACAUUGGGACUGCGGUACGGCCCAGCCUCCUACGGGAGGCAGCGGUGGGGAAUAUUGCACAGUGGGCGGAAGCCUGAUGCAGCAACGCCGCGUGCGGGAUGACGGCCUGCGGGUUGUAAACCGCUUUCGCCUGUGACGAAGCGUGAGUGACGGUAAUGGGUAAAGAAGCACCGGCUAACUACGUG